GCCUGGGUGGCUCGGUCCGUUAAGCGUCCGACUUCGACUCAGGUCAUGAUCUUGCGGUCUGUGGGUUCGAGUCCCACAUCGGGCU
rnacentral:tRNA from 1 species